UGCUCCGAGAAACCUCCGCUGAAGAAAAACGUCACAAUCUGUAUAGAUGGUGACGUCAUGUUUUAGCUUCUCCAGCAUUUUCUGAAUUCACUCUAUGUUAUGUGAUCUUCAUACGGCCGUUUCUAUCAAUCACAUAAAGUCGAAUUAUAAAAAUCUACCUUCAUGAUAACAUGACGUAUAAACGCCGCUCUAAACGGAAAUCGUUCAUCAAUGAAGUUCUAGUUAACAAAUCUGCAGUUUCAUUUGUUAGUAGGAGCGCGAUAUAUUGAUUUUGUUUUAUCCCAUGUUACUAGUGCACGUUAGUAAUGGCGGCUAGUAUGAGAGUGCCGAAUGUUUGAUGAAAGAAUUUCUGUGAAUCGACAAAAAGAACAAUGGAACUGACCUGCCCGGGGAGAGCGCCUACAUCGAGAACGCAGCUUACGAUCGGCGAAUCGCCGUAAGAGAAAGCGCGACUUCGCAUGUCGCCGCCAUCUAUCGGGAAGAAAAAUAUUUAUUUCUCUUUGCUGAUUUUUUCCCGUUAUUAGGAGUUUUCUCACUUCUAUCCUUUACCCUACGGCGCUUUUUGUCUUCGGAUAACUCUGUCUUCACGUGACUCGAUGCCGGGUCCUUUCAUUGCGAAGGCCACUUCUAUACAGACUAUGCCAUGCGUUCUUUUUAGCGAUUACUGUUCGGAAGUCGUAUUUGGUUUGUUUGCGCGCCUGAUCCACGGUGCAUAUACGCAUUUCUUGGCUAUGUCGGCGAAUACUUAUUGCGCAUGCCGAGCGACUUUGCAUCUCGUUUCAUAGUGACGCCAGUCGCGUUUUUAUCUACCGAGUUCGCCAAAUCUCGAGCAAUUUAUUUAACCGAACAUAUACGUUUAGCACAAAGCACGGCAUUAAGCGAAUGCUUGCAUAGGGGGUUUUUAUUCCGUGCAUCAAGGGUACUCGAAAUGCCAUCGAAUCCAUCGAAAGAGUUACAGGACGCGAAGGGACCGCGAGCAGCCUCUUACCAGUCCCGAUAUCAUUUCGUUAGUCUAUGUAGAUGUCUUUUCGCAGCGCCGUAACUACGGUACGCAGCGCCUGUGGCAAGGGUCAAACUUACGCUCCCUCAUUUUUUCAAUUAAAGAUAACAAUGCUGAAACUGAAUUAUCUCCAUCAAAAUGAGUUGAUUUUUGAAUCUGCUGUAAGAUAAUUAUUUAUUUAUAGGUAUAAAUAAAA
rnacentral:lncRNA from 1 species